rnacentral:lncRNA from 1 species
CCCGUGUCUGCCAGCUGUUGCUAAAUACCUCUAAGAACUUCUGCUUCCAGAGCCGUCUAUCCCAGGAACCUCAGAACCUGGGACAAGAACUCACUGAAGGGUCGGUCCCCUGGGGGAGAUGAAUUGGACCAACUCUAGGUUCCAGGACUCCAGAGCCAGCAACACCUCCCUGGACAAGCCCACCCCGUUGCUCAGCUCAGAGGAUGUCACCACCAUGGGGCCAGAGACUAAGUCUGCAGUUCUUGGCAGCACAGAAACCACCGCCCUUUCUGGGUGCAUUGGUGUUGUGGUCCUCGUCUUGCUCCUGGUGAUUCUGUUGUCCGUGACCUUGAGGAAAUGGAGGCACGAGAGUGAGUUGAACAGCUGGCCCCGGAAGUGGGAAUGACAAAAGGGGAGA